GAUGAACGCUGGCGGCGUGCCUAAUACAUGCAAGUCGAGCGAACGGACGAGAAGCUUGCUUCUCUGAUGUUAGCGGCGGACGGGUGAGUAACACGUGGAUAACCUACCUAUAAGACUGGGAUAACUUCGGGAAACCGGAGCUAAUACCGGAUAAUAUUUUGAACCGCAUGGUUCAAAAGUGAAAGACGGUCUUGCUGUCACUUAUAGAUGGAUACGCGCUGCAUUAGCUAGUUGGUAAGGUAAAGGGUUACCAAGGCAACUAUGCAUAGGCGACCUGAGAGGGUGGUCGGCCACCCGAGAGCGGGAACACGGACCAGGGUCCUGCGGUAGGCAGCAGUAUGGAAUCUUCCGCAGUAGUCGAGAACCUGGCGGAGCAACGCCGCGUGAGUUAUAAAAGUCUUCGGAGCGUAAAGCUCUGUUAUUAGGGAAGAACAUAUGUGUAAGUAACUGUGCACAGCUUGACGGUACCUAAUCAGAAAGCCACGGCUAACUACGUG
rnacentral:rRNA from 1 species